UCGGAAUGGUGUCAUGCUGCAAUAACUGAAAUCUCCUGCCAGCUCCUAGCGACCAGCUGCUAUGGGAACUGCUAGCAUUCUACCUCAAAGAGACUGCAGUCCAACUAGGAAGUCUUGUUCUGAACAAAUCAGGUGAUUCCAUCACUUUGGCUUUUCCACUGUUCUGCUUCCCUUCCCCACCCUCACAAUUCAACCCUCUGAGACAGCUGGCAAGAAGACGGAUCUCUCCCUGCUGGGAAGGAAGAGGAAUCAAGAAGAGCAGCAGAUGCAAACUGCGGUGUGAUUCCACUUUUCUGGAUUUCAGGUAAAUAAAUGUUUUGGAGGAGAUGCCAGGAUUGAG
rnacentral:lncRNA from 14 species